rfam:Trichobilharzia regenti genome assembly, scaffold: TRE_scaffold0041410
CACUAGCUGACGAGUUCCAAAUAGGACGAAAUGCGCAUCCUGGAG